rnacentral:sRNA from 1 species
UCGAUUAGGGAUGGUGCAGUAUUCUAGUCAAUCCUCCGUUUCUGAAGGCGGGGCUAAAAAUCCGCUAAAGGGCACAUCGAUGAAGUUCCUUGUGUUGGCUUGAGGCGCCCAGCCUUGGGUUAAUGCUGGGAGUUAAGGAUUUCGGGCGAUCCACAAAGGCAUGUGGGCGUUUGACCCGAUUUCCGUGGAGGCCCAUCUCUGUAGUAGGCACUAAGCCUAGUGGCUAUUAUGGAAUGGGGUAUGAACCUAUGAUAAAUGGUAAGGGAAUCCAUUUAAAUAGCGUAGCCUGCCUUGAGUGGUAUCUGAGGGGAUUAGAGCGUAAAAUCAUGGAAGAGAUGGCCACUCUUCAAUGAUUAAGAUUCUAUGAAAUCAGUACUGCAAAAGAGGCUAGGAAGCGGUUAAAGAUUGCUGAGGAAAUCUCCUAGACUGUUUGAAUAAACAUCCAAUAGGGAUUAUAGUGUGGACUAAGUGGUAAUCCAGUCUAGUACAUGGUGACAUGGCUAAGAUGGCUUUAAAGGGGAACCGCCUUUUUGGCAACAAAAGGUAUCUAUCUGGGAAAACCUACUGGACCUAAGCCACAGUUUUAACCUAUUGGGUGACCAUCCCUCG